GACGAACGCUGGCGGCGUGCUUAACACAUGCAAGUCGAACGGAAAGGCCCUGCUUUUGUGGGGUGCUCGAGUGGCGAACGGGUGAGUAACACGUGAGUAACCUGCCCUUGACUUUGGGAUAACUUCAGGAAACUGGGGCUAAUACCGGAUAGGAGCUCCUGCUGCAUGGUGGGGUUUGGAAAGUUUCGGCGGUUGGGGAUGGACUCGCGGCUUAUCAGCUUGUUGGUGGGGUAGUGGCUUACCAAGGCUUUGACGGGUAGCCGGCCUGAGAGGGUGACCGGCCACAUGGGGACUGAGAGACGGCCCAGACUCCUACGGGAGGCAGCAGUGGGGAAUAUUGCACAAUGGGCGGAAGCCUGAGGCAGCAACGCCGCGUGCGGGAUGACGGCCUUCGGGUGGUAAACCGCUUUCGCCUGUGACGAAGCGUGAGUGACGGUAAUGGGUAAAGAAGCACCGGCUAACUACGUG
rnacentral:rRNA from 1 species